rnacentral:rRNA from 1 species
CGCGUAGGCGGCUUGUACAGUCAGACGUGAAAUUCCUGGGCUCAACCUGGGGGCUGCGUUUGAUACGUGCGGGCUUGAGUUCGGAAGAGGGUCGUGGAAUUCCCAGUGUAGAGGUGAAAUUCGUAGAUAUUGGGAAGAACACCGGUGGCGAAGGCGGCGGCCUGGUCCGAUACUGACGCUGAGGCGCGAAAGCGUGGGGAGCAAACAGGAUUAGAUACCCUGGUAGUCCACGCCGUAAACGAUGUGCGCUGGAUGUUGGGUGACAUAGUCAUUCAGUGUCGUAGCUAACGCGAUAAGCGCACCGCCUGGGGAGUACGGCCGCAAGGUUGAA